rnacentral:rRNA from 1 species
CAGCAGCCGCGGGAAUACGAAGGGUGCAAGCGUUAAUCGGAAUUACUGGGCGUAAAGCGUGCGUAGGCGGUUGUGUAAGACAGGUGUGAAAUCCCCGGGCUUAACCUGGGAACUGCGCUUGUGACUGCACAGCUAGAGUAUGGCAGAGGGGGGUGGAAUUCCACGUGUAGCAGUGAAAUGCGUAGAGAUGUGGAGGAACACCGAUGACGAAGGCAGCCCCCUGGGCCAAUACUGACGCUCAUGCACGAAAGCGUGGGGAGCAAACAGGAUUAGAUACCCCGGUAGUCCCUGUCUCUUAUAU